AGAGUUUGAUCAUGGCUCAGGACGAACGCUGGCGGCGUGCCUAAUACAUGCAAGUCGAGCGAGCUUGCCUAGAUGAUUUUAGUGCUUGCACUAAAUGAAACUAGAUACAAGCGAGCGGCGGACGGGUGAGUAACAUGUGGGUAACCUGCCCAAGAGACUGGGAUAACACCUGGAAACAGAUGCUAAUACCGGAUAACAACACUAGACGCAUGUCUAGAGUUUGAAAGAUGGUUCUGCUAUCACUCUUGGAUGGACCUGCGGUGCAUUAGCUAGUUGGUAAGGUAACGGCUUACCAAGGCAAUGAUGCAUAGCCGAGUUGAGAGACUGAUCGGCCACAUUGGGACUGAGACACGGCCCAAACUCCUACGGGAGGCAGCAGUAGGGAAUCUUCCACAAUGGACGAAAGUCUGAUGGAGCAACGCCGCGUGAGUGAAGAAGGGUUUCGGCUCGUAAAGCUCUGUUGGUAGUGAGGAAAGAUAGAGGUAGUAACUGGCCUUUAUUUGACGGUAAUUACUUAGAAAGUCACGGCUAACUACGUGCCAGCAGCCGCGGUAAUACGUAGGUGGCAAGCGUUGUCCGGAUUUAUUGGGCGUAAAGCGAGUGCAGGCGGUCCAAUAAGUCUGAUGUGAAAGCCUUCGGCUCAACCGGAGAAUUGCAUCAGAAACUGUUGAACUUGAGUGCAGAAGAGGAGAGUGGAACUCCAUGUGUAGCGGUGGAAUGCGUAGAUAUAUGGAAGAACACCAGUGGCGAAGGCGGCUCUCUGGUCUGCAACUGACGCUGAGGCUCGAAAGCAUGGGUAGCGAACAGGAUUAGAUACCCUGGUAGUCCAUGCCGUAAACGAUGAGUGCUAAGUGUUGGGAGGUUUCCGCCUCUCAGUGCUGCAGCUAACGCAUUAAGCACUCCGCCUGGGGAGUACGACCGCAAGGUUGAAACUCAAAGGAAUUGACGGGGGCCCGCACAAGCGGUGGAGCAUGUGGUUUAAUUCGAAGCAACGCGAAGAACCUUACCAGGUCUUGACAUCCAGUGCAAACCUAAGAGAUUAGGUGUUCCCUUCGGGGACGCUGAGACAGGUGGUGCAUGGCUGUCGUCAGCUCGUGUCGUGAGAUGUUGGGUUAAGUCCCGCAACGAGCGCAACCCUUGUCAUUAGUUGCCAUCAUUAAGUUGGGCACUCUAAUGAGACUGCCGGUGACAAACCGGAGGAAGGUGGGGAUGACGUCAAGUCAUCAUGCCCCUUAUGCUUAGGGCUACACACGUGCUACAAUGGGUGGUACAGAGGGCAGCCAAGUCGUGAGGCGGAGCUAAUCCCUUAAAGCCAUUCUCAGUUCGGAUUGUAGGCUGAAACUCGCCUACAUGAAGCUGGAGUUACUAGUAAUCGCAGAUCAGAAUGCUGCGGUGAAUGCGUUCCCGGGUCUUGUACACACCGCCCGUCACACCACGGAAGUUGGGGGCGCCCGAAGCCACUUAGCUAACCCUUUUGGGAAGCGAGUGUCGAAGGUGAAAUCAAUAACUGGGGUGAAGUCGUAACAAGGUAGCCGUAUCGGAAGGUGCGGCUGGAUCACCUCCUU
rnacentral:rRNA from 1 species